rnacentral:ncRNA from 1 species
AGGAGUUGCCAAGAGUAAGACACUUGAACAGUAAGUCUAGCUGAUAAGUAAGUUCUUCAUAAGAGAACACUUCCAUUACGAAUUCAGUCGCAAAUUGUAGAAUUAGCUACUCUACAAUUUAGUGAACGUUAGUAACGUUGUAAUAUAAUAUAGUCUUUGGAAGGAUUAUAGUGUAUUACUAAAUAACUCCUC